CUUAGAUGAGUUAUUAGAACCUGAGAUAUUUUGUAAACAAAAUCAGGAAACCGUGAUUGCUUUCAAUAUAUUUCCAUGCGACAGAAUUGAACAUGCAAGAGAAUCUCACGACUUUGAGUAUGAAAUGAAUAAUGAUAGGAAUGUUUGUCUCAUGGAGCAUUGGAUAAAUUUAGUGCCUUUCCUUUUGAGAAUUAUUUAAAAUCUCUCAAGAGUUUACUUAAAUCAGGUUACAAACCUUUAUAGCAAGCUGCGCGUCGUGAUCUAGAAAGAACAGUAUCAGUGUCAGUGCAUCUUCCAACUAAUGAUAAAGAAGUUACUUUGUCACGUAGGCAUUAUUGUGAUGGCGAGAUCAUUGAUGGUUUUUAUUUUCGAAGUAUUUCUAUUGGUAAUGUUGUUUUACAGGUUGGUCAGAGAAACUCUUGUUUUAUGACAAUUGACGGAAAUAUAUUUGUAUUGUUAAAUGUUGUGAAAAGACGAGAAGAUAUACACCUAAUUACAAACAAGUUUAACAAAAAAGAAGAUUUUUAUACAUAUCCUUUUCCUUCAUCUCUUGUUCGUAUUUUUAAAGUGUCAAAUCUGGGUGACCAAAGAAUUGUACUGCCAUUGACAAAUAUUCAAUCAAAAUUUUGUCGUUUUAAAAUUUUUACCUGACGAUGUCAACAAUGAUAAUAUUUGCUACGAUAUCGGCCUUACAAAGUGGUUGAUUGAAGUGAAUGAAGAUAUGGAAGGUCAGACAUAUUGGCCACCGCG